CGGGUUUGACAUGCUAUCGUGUUAGUUCGAUAGAGAUAUUGAAUGAUCUUUGUGAAAACAGAGAUGAUAGCAC
rnacentral:rRNA from 1 species